rnacentral:rRNA from 1 species
AUGAACGCUGGCGGCGUGCCUCAUCCAUGCCAGUCGCGCGAACAGACGAGGAGCUUGCUCCUCUGACGUUAGCGGCGGACGGGUGAGUAACACGUGGAUAACCUACCUAUAAGACUGGGAUAACUUCGGGAAACCGGAGCUAAUACCGGAUAAUAUAUUGAACCGCAUGGUUCAAUAGUGAAAGACGGUUUUGCUGUCACUUAUAGAUGGAUCCGCGCCGCAUUAGCUAGUUGGUAAGGUAACGGCUUACCAAGGCAACGAUGCGUAGCCGACCUGAGAGGGUGAUCGGCCACACUGGAACUGAGACACGGUCCAGACUCCUACGGGAGGCAGCAGUAGGGAAUCUUCCGCAAUGGGCGAAAGCCUGACGGAGCAACGCCGCGUGAGUGAUGAAGGUCUUCGGAUCGUAAAACUCUGUUAUUAGGGAAGAACAAAUGUGUAAGUAACUAUGCACGUCUUGACGGUACCUAAUCAGAAAGCCACGACUAACUACGUG